GCGAGCUUUUUAGUAGUUUACUACAGAAAAUGACUGAGCGGCGAACGGGUGAGUAACGCGUGAGCAAUCUACCUUAGUUACAGGGAUAGCCCGAGGAAACUCGGAUUAAUACCUGAUAUUCUUUAUUUCUCGCAUGAGAAUAAAAGGAAAGGUCAGCCGAACUAAGAUGAGCUCGCGUUCUAUCAGCUAGUUGGUGAGGUAAAAGCUUACCAAGGCUACGACGGAUAGCUGGUCUGAGAGGACGAUCAGCCACACUGGGACUGAGACGCGGCCCAGACUCCUACGGGAGGCUGCAGCAGGGAAUAUUGUGCAAUGAACGAAAGUUUGACACAGCGACACCGCGUGUGGGAUGACGGAUCUAGGUUUGUAAACCACUUUCAGGAGGGAAGAAAAUGACGGUACCUCCACAAGAAGCCCCGGCCAACUACGUGCCAGCAGCCGCGGUAAUACGUAGGGGGCGAGCGUUGUCCGGAUUUAUUGGGCGUAAAGAGCUCGUAGGCGGUUCAACAAGUCGGUAGUAAAAGUUCAGGGCUCAACCCUGAAAUGUCUAUCGAUACUGUUGUGACUAGGAUACGGCAGAGGUGAGUGGAAUUCCGAGUGUAGCGGUGAAAUGCGUAGAUAUUCGGAGGAACACCAAUUGCGAAGGCAGCUCACUGGGCCGCUAUCGACGCUGAGGAGCGAAAGCUAGGGGAGCAAACAGGAUUAGAUACCCUGGUAGUCCUAGCUGUAAACGAUGGAUACUAGACGUAGGAACUGGAUUGACGGUUUCUGUGUCGUAGCUAACGCGUUAAGUAUCCCGCCUGGGGGAGUACGGUCGCAAGACUAAAACUCAAAGGAAUUGACGGGACCCCGCACAAGCGGCGGAGCAUGCGGCUUAAUUCGAUGAUACCCGUAGAACCUUACCUGGACUUGACCAUAUAGGAUCCAGCUAUAGAGG
rnacentral:rRNA from 1 species